AUGAGGGCUGCUUGGGCAUGAAAAGUCUCCUAAAACUCUACAGCAGGAUCCUGAAGAACAGAUUCAACCAACAGAUGGAGGCACAGCACAUGGUAUGCAGCUUUUAUCAUGAGGAUGUGGUGACGAGUCGACCGACAGAAAGAGACAACACACUACCUCCUCAACCUGAGCCUUAUUUUUCUCAGAGUUUUCUCAUAUCAGUGCCUGACAAUGUCUUCAUCUAUGCAAACAUUUGGUUUUCUCUUCAUCUGUUUUUACAGUCAUGCGAGCGCUGUUACAUUUCAGCAAUCUCCUCUCCAGAUAGUGAAGGAGAACAGUGAAGUCCACAUUAACUGCACUCAUGAUGAUAGUACCCUUCUCUUAAUGCUCUGGUAUCAGCAAAGAGAGGACAGUCUGUCUAUGACCCUCAUUACAUAUGGAUAUGCAAAAACCAAUCCAAACUAUGAAGGUCAGUUUGAUAAACAAUUCAAACUGACAAGAGAAGACGCAACAUCAGGAACGCUUACUAUUCAAAGAGCCAACCUGUCACACUCAGCUGUGUAUUUCUGCGCUGCCAGUACACAGUGAUGUGGUUUAAUGCCACUCCCUCACUAAAAACCCUGAUCUUUUUCCUGUGUUUGCACAAGAAGGGGUGACUCUCUUUUUACACACUCUCACUGGAGGAAGCUGUGUUUCUCCUGCAGCAGCACAAACCUGGAGGAUGUCUCCAACUGUGAUUGGAUUUCUUCUCAUCUUGCUUCCAUAUCAAACAAAGAGUGUGAAUUUUCAGCCGUCUCAUCCGAGAAUAGUCAACAAAGCAGCCAGGGUGGAAAUUGAAUGCAGUCACGAUGACAGCAACCUUUAUGUAAUGCUCUGGUACCAGCAAGAAGACAGAGGUCUGAUGAGCUUGAUUGGAUACAGCAAUCAUGGCAAUGAACCCACAUAUGAGAAACAGUUCGAAAACCAGUUUGCGAUUACAAGAGAAAGCAUCCUGAAAGGAUCUCUGAUUAUUCACAAUGUGAAUGUAUCAGACUCAGCUGUGUAUUUCUGCGCUGCCAGUACACAGUGAUGUGGUUUAAUGUCACCCCAUCACUAAAAACCCUGCUCUCUUUU